rnacentral:lncRNA from 1 species
CAGGUGAAGGACAUGUUUGCUUCCCUUUCCACCAUGAUUGCAAGUUUCCUGAGGCCUCCCUAGCCAUGCUGAACUCACAGUUUUUAAAGUAUCUAGUGUAUAUAAGGACAAGCCAUUCUCAGUCAAGCAUGAAACUGAAUCUGAGGAAAAGAAGAAAGCUGAAAACACACUGAGGAUUAUGGGAGAGGGGCAAGUGCAUGAAGCUUCUCAAUGACAUACAGACACUCUAAAAGCUCAAGAGAUCAAUUAUUCAACUUCAAGAACUGAAAUUUGAACACAGAUUUUGAGCUUCCAAAUCAGACUGCUGUUAAACUGGCUCACUCCAUAUACUCUGUGCUACAGCAAUUUAAUAUUUCAUUAAAAAGCAUUAAUGAUGGCUCCAGUGAAUUUCUCCUAUUCAAGCUCCAUAAUGACAGCAGUUCAAGCGAGUGUUGAUCUCUGAGUGAUGCAACACAAAAACAUCGCCUAACAAAGGAACACUUGGAGUACUACUCAUAUUCUCUGCAACUUGAGGAGAAAAAGAAGUGUUCUAUAAGAAGUUUGGACAAGACUCUGCAAGAAGUUAAGAGGUCCUUAAAGGCAACUGUGAAUUAACGGAGACUAGUUUUGAGAAAAUCAGUCCUGAUUUGUUUCUCCUGGAGUUUUCUUCUUUAUGUGAUCCUUCAUAAAAGCUGCUAAUAUGGGAAAGAUUGAAAUCAGCAAGUUUCUGGCUGUAAGCUAAAAGAGGCUCUUGAAUCAUAUUUCCGCCUGCUUAGCAAAUUUCUCUUGCGACAAUUGGAUGUUAUUUGGGGUUCCAUACUAGCAGGAAGAAGUACAAGCAAAGCUAAGUCAUUUUGAGAAUAAAUAUUAUCUCUCUAUAUAUUUGUAAAUGUUAUUUUCUUUUUUUUUGAGGUUUAUGAUUGAUCCUUGGCAUGUGUCCCCUUGUGUAUUGCUCUACUAAAAAUAGCCUAAAAAAGAAUUUUCCCCUCGAUGUGGAGCUUCUCUUUAGUUACAAUUCUACUUUCUCCUUCACUUGAGUAUCAGUCUUCAGAGAACUACCAUAACAAAGGAGUGGAUACAGAUAUACGCAAAAAAGUCUAUGAGAAAAUUAGUACAUUAAAUUUGUGAAAGCUCAUUUAAAGUAAUUUUCUACUAACAAUUUUAAUCAAAUGUAUUAAUCAUAUUUCUAUGCUUAGUGAUGUUAAAUAAAAAUUUAAAAGGUGGCAAUCAAUAAACAGAGAUAAAAGCUUCUCAAGAAUAAAUGAAAGGAAGUAAUAAAAAGACUCACUAAGCUGAAUUGCCUCCUAUCAACAGCAGCUGAUAAAAUAUUAAAAGAUUUGCCUUGUGUAAUGUCUCUGGAGAGCUGUCUUACUGAUGUACGAGGCCAUGAUUGACAACUUUGAGACUUUGCUGGAAGCGACAAAAGUAUAUCUAUAAUAUUAUGCUGAAUUGCAUAGGUCUUUCUUCUUAAAUGAGGCUAGAAAUAACAUACCACCAAGUGUUUGGCUUUUAGGAAAUUGAGCAUUUUCUUUAGUUCUAGCUGCAGUUUAAUUUCCUCAGAAUUAGACAUUAUGCGGUAUCUGGAACGUUAAAAAAAAAAAAAAGCAAAAA